GGACCAGAGAAGAGGGGCAGAAAGAGUGUUAAGAACCAGAGGGGAUGGAGGACACCAGGAGAACAGGGCCCUUUGAGUCAACUAAGCAGGACUCAUAUGAACUCACAGAGACUGAAGCAGCAAGCACAGGGCCUACAUGGAUCUGCACAGGGCCUGAGUAUAAAUUACAGCUUUCAGUUUAGUAUUUUUAUGGGACUCCUGAGUGUGUGAAUGAGUGGGUCUCUGACUCUUGUGUCUGCUCUUGGGGCUCUUUUCCUUCUGUUGGGUUGCCUUGUCCAGCCUCAGUGUGAUUGAUGGCUUUUGCUUCAUCUUAUUAUUUUUAUUUUGUUAUGUUUGGCUGCUAUCUCAUAGAAGCCUGGUUUUCUGUCUGUCUGUCUGUCUGUCUGUUUGUUUGUUUUUGUUUUCCGAAUGAGAGACAGAAAGGGAGUAGAUCCAGAGAGGAAGGAGAGUUGGGAGGAGAAACUGUAAUCAAGAUAUAUUGUAAGAGAAAAAACAUUUUUUCAAUAAAAGGAAAAAAUGAAGAAGAAGAAGAAAAAAAAAAACAACCUAAACUAAAAGCACCAAACUCAAAAUUAAGCCUGUUUUUCUUCACUUUCCCUAAAGAAUUCACAUUCUAUCAGAGCUUGUACUACCUCAAGUUGAAUUCAACUAAAACACCUGGUGUGAUAAGGCAUGUCUGAGUCACAGCACUUGAGAGAUAAAUUAAAACUCAAAUCACAAAAGAGGAUUUUUCAAGUUUAGUAUGUAUUUGCCCUUUAAAAUAUCAUUAUUUUCAUCACCACAAGAUUAUUCAAACAAUAAAGGCCACUCCCUCCAACAGUUUUCAGCCUCCAAAACUUUGCCCCUUUGCCUAUGUGAAAGCUGGGAGCAGCUCCCAGCUUUAGUUUGAUUACAGACAGAACAAAGUCCAGCAAUGAUUAUAACUAUGCUGGUCCAACAGGCAGGCAGGAAGAAGGAAAAAAGAUGCAAAUAGGGAAUCAAAAUAUAGGGAGGUACAGGAGUCUUCGUAGAAAAACCACCUGUGGGAGUGGGUAAAUUCUGAUCAAGCCUUGCAAUGUGACUCAGAUAAAUCACCCAUGUCUGCAACGAACAUGACAAGAGCCACUACGUAAUACAAUGUCUUCUACUUAUAAUUUAUUAUGACAACACAAUUUCCCAGGAGUGUACCAAUGUCCUUCAGAUCAGACGUGCUUAGUGUUACUCUGGCAGCAGGAGCCAGUGCGGGGUAGACACAAGAACAAACACCUGGUGUGAUAAGGCAUGUCUGAGUCACAGCACUUGAGAACCCAAGUCAGGAGGACUGAAAGGUCCAGGCCAGCCUAGAAAACAAGUUAAAGACCCUGCAUCAAAAUAACUAAAGAAAACAGAAGAACACAGACUUUUGAACAAGCUGCACUGCACUUUACACUCAAGAAAAGCCAACUGUUUGUCUGAGUGCCUGUCCAUGGUUCAAGCAUCCCAUCUUUCUGAACUUCAGUUAUAGCACUGAAAAAAAGGGCAAAUAAUGACUUUCAUGUGAAGAAAAUAAGUGAGACUCUAGCCCUCAAAUACUGUCCAUUUCCAUCUGAAAGAAGGGUAAAUCACAGAAUAAACUGAACCAAGUAACAGAAUGCAUCCCAGAUAUAAUCAUGUCUGGCAUAUAGCUGUCUCUGGUAAAUGCUAAUUCCUUUUUAAUUUACUCAUCAACACAAGAAAUCCAUACAUUGGUUUCCUACUUAACAGUUUUAUAGUUGCUCUACUUUUGUUUUUAUCAGACAAGGUCUUUUGCAGUUGGCUGACCUCAAAUUCACUAUUUAGCCAAGACUGACCUUGAACUCCUGAUCCCUCUGCCCCCACCUCCCACAUGCUGGGAUUAUAGGUGUGUGUUAAUGACGCCUGGCUUGUAACUGAUGUUCUUGAUAAUUUAACUUUUUGUGCUCAUAAAAUAAAUUCUAUAAAAUCC
rnacentral:lncRNA from 1 species